rnacentral:lncRNA from 1 species
UUCUGAAAUUCCAGCACGGCGACUCCAUCGUGCUCCAGCGACGGCGCCGCUGCCCACGACAGCAAUUUGCCUUCAGUCGGCUGUUUUCGGCCGAUUUUGCAUCAAUCCCUGUAAGAAAAUACGUUAUGGAGACUCGGUUGGUAAAAAAAAAUAAAAAACUGAAACUCACCGGCGGCAGGGUUCUCCAGUGCGACGGCUCC